ACGAACGAACGUGUACACGAUGUGUAUGUGUGUAUGUAUGUGUAUACAUGUGCGCAAAAUCAAAUUGAAUUAUCCAUGUUUCAUCAAAAAUGAUAAAGGAAAAUCGACCACACUCUUUCCAUCAUCCAUUUGGUAUAUGAAGAAAAAUGCAAGCAAGAGAAGAUGUCUUUUUUGCACGUAGCAAGCAUUUUACAAGCACCACGUAGCAAGCAUCUAGAAAAAUAUUCAAUCAAUCUUUUUAAAGGAACCGCCAAUUACACCCAGAAACGAUUGGAUUGGUUGUAAUAUAUUUAAUAUAUAUUUGUUUACGAGAAAUAACACAGCAAAUAAAAAAUAAACGUGAAAAAUUCAUGUUGAUUCGUGUUGAAACAAAACAAUCUAAAGUCGGAAUGUCAUCCAAAUUCUGGAUUUAUUUUUUUUGACAACAAUAUAUAUGUAAUAUUCACUCACACUAUAUGCAUUAUAUGCACAGUUGAAAGAAAAUUUUUUUUUUCACCUAAUGCACUAUAUACACAGUUGAAAAAAAUGAAAUAAAAAAAACC